CUGCAUAGCUACAGUAGCAGCGUCUCUGCGGCUUGACCUAAUAAGCCCUGCUGAGGUGCAGAAACACAGAAGAUUUGGCAGUUCUGUCUUUUUCCUUGAUCCCUGUCUGGAGCAAGUCCCUUUUCUCUCUCUUUGUCACUUGUGACUGUUAGGUAUUACAACCCAAUCUAAGCUGCUCUGUGCAGUUUUUCAAAACAGCCAUUGCCUGUGCCAGCAGUCAAAAUCCCGCCUGGGUCCACAUCGGGGAUUUUGGGCAGCUGAAAGCCACGGCACAUGAACUGCGGUGGCUCCACUGAAGAUGGUGAGCGAUGCAUCCACAGCUGUCUGAGUGCAGGUUCUGGCCCCACCGGCUUUACAGCGCUGAUGACAUAAAAGAUCUUUGCACUGGGUAUGCUGUUUGCUGAGGAAAAUUCCACUUGAACUCUGGAGCAAUCUGAAGAAUUCUGACAGAAAGUUUGAGGGGGCAGGAUUUUACUUUGCACUCUCUCUUGACUUAAGUCUGCUCCCUUUGAAGACAGCCUUAAAGCUAACAUUGAUUUAAAUAGAAGCAUAAGUAAAUCGAGCCUGAUUGCUUUCUGAAGCCCUGCCCUGAAAAUUCUGAGUUCACAGAACUUCUGAUUUUACUUCUACUGCUACUUUGUGCCUUACAGUUUAAAAGGAAAAACCUGCCUACCUAAAUUUUCAUUAGUCUCAUCCCUGGGAUACAGACAACACACAGGAAUUACCAGCUGGAAACCUCUGUCCCAUGUCAUGCAAGGGAUUAGGAUAGUCCCUUCUGGCUGUAAAUCUGUGCAUAUACAUUUUAGGUAGAGGUGACAAAUAAAAGAAUAGAAAGAACGGGAUAGAAAGGUGCUGCAGAGGUUGACAGUAGAAUCGUAUGGUUACUGCAGAUAUUGUGCUUUAAUAUUCAGUCUUUGAUUCAUUUCUUUCAGGCUCAAUCUUGAAAGGCUCAAGUCUUAAAAAUUGAAUUAAAUACAAAGAGAAUGUAGCUGGAGGGAUCUGGCAUGGGAUGGGUUUUGUAAGGCACAGCCGAAGGAGCUGGGGGUGGGGAGGGAAGGUGAAGAAUUUGUGAAUUAAGAGCAGGCAGCUAACCCGCUUAUCUUUGCUGUUGUUUUUAAAUCUAUAGAUUCCGAAGGGAGUGGAUUAUAUUUAUAUAAAUGUAUAGAAAGAGGCUUUUGCUCUAAACAGCUCCUAAUGCAGGUGAAAACUGUACAUUGAUUACUUAAAGAAAGUUAAAAUAAAAGCAAUUUUUCCCCCAUUUCCACACAUUGCAGCUUUUGGCCUAUCCACUCAUAGCUAAAAAAGCAUUCUUUCCUGAUAAUCAAGCUUCAGCUGUCUGAAUUUCAGGCCGAGCCUCUCAUCUUGAGCUCUGCUGAAGAGCUUCUUUAAUUAACCAUUAUACCACAGAUGUUAUUGAUUUUUUUUUUUUUCAAAUCUGGUUGAAACAUCAUUGUGCUGGAUCGUCGCCAAGACGAAGGCCUGAAUUUUUUGUGCACUGCUUUUACUCCUUCUGCAUACCUUAUUAGUCUCCAUGUCUGUUAAGUGCAACCCUUAGCAUUAACUCAGAAAAUAUAGCAUUGAUUUUUAGCCUUGCAGCCAUAAUCUAAGGGCUCCUAAUUUGGAAUGUGGAAACCAGAGUUCUACGAGAAGCUGUAUUACUGUAUACUUCCUACAAGUAAGACCUUUCACUCUCUUUGCCUUUUUGCCAGACUUUUGACGUGGUUUAAAGCUCUUGGAAUUGUUUUGUUGCAAGACAUGUCCGAAACAUGUCUGCUUACAUGUGUGUAAAUAAACAUGUGUUUAUAUAUAUUUAAAAAAAAAAAAACCUAAAUAAAAAGUGUGAUUUGCAAAGAUGCUGUUCACCACAGUUUCUAAUCAUUUCAGCCGAGUUGUGGCAGCUCAGUUUCUCUGCAAACCUGUUUGCUCACCUUUAGCUGCAUAUAUGUAAUUUGGGGAGCUAAAUUUUGCUGCCCAGGUUUCAAUGUUUUGGCGGCAUUGUUUUAAAUUUGACUGUAUUUUUCUCUUCUAGCCUGUCAUUGGGAUACUGGGGUCAGUUAUUAGCAUGGUGUAACAUCUCUGGUAGAAUUAAUUCUUGAAUUGAAGGACUU